rnacentral:rRNA from 1 species
GGGUGCAAUCAUACCAGCACUAAAGCACCGAAUUCC